GCCUUCGUGGUGUAAUGGUCAGCACACUGAGCCGGUAUUUCAGAGGUCCGCGGUUCGAUUCCCAGCGAAGGCG
rfam:Stegodyphus mimosarum contig64335, whole genome shotgun sequence.